CUGCUUUGGAAUUGCAAGCCUGAUAAUUGGAGUUCUUAUAUGUAUUCUUCAUGUUCAUGUACAUCGUUCUAGGAAUUCAUGUUCCUCCAUACUAGAUACCAUAUCACGGUUUUGCAACUUUCAGAAACAACAAAAACAAACCGAUGUUUAUGAAAAUCAUGAUACAGACAUUGAAAACACACCAUUAAAUGAGGAGACCACAGACCGUUGUUCGGUUGAGAUGGAGCCGUCAUGAGAUAUGAAAAGAAUGAAAUGACCAACAUCUAGGGCGAAACAAAUUAUAAUUGAUCCUGGGGAAAAAUUGAUACUUAAAGAAUUAGAUUUUUUUAUGGAUGUAUGAAAAGAAGUCGGUUAUGUGAUCAAAUCCUAUAUCGCCAAAAUGGCUCGUGCAGUUGCUUUCCAUACUCAACAAUAUCUGAUCAUUUGACCAACUAUGUGUUAUUGAAAUUUAUAUUUUACUUUUUUAUUCUCGUCACAAAAAAUACAACCACUAUUUCAACUUUGCUAUUAAACUGCGAUGUAAGGUACAUACGACGUAUGUAACGUCACAUUCGGAACAAUUCAAGUGGCUCGUGCAGUUUGCUUUCUAUAUCCAAGAACUUAUGAUCUAGACCAACGGAAUGCCACUGAAAAAUGAAUUUCAAUGAAAUUUAUGUUACUUUAUAAGGCAUCGGCUAAAGUCAAUUUUAUGAUUUGUCAUUCCUUUUUACGUCCAUGUAUACCGACAUUUCUUAUUGAUGUACAAAGACACUAAAUGACAGCUUGUGUUUUGUUGUGUUGCAUCUAUUAACUGUAUACACGUUUUGUUAUAUACUUUCUUACCACUGUCGUAGUUUGUGAACUGUGCCAAACAUUGUUCAAUAAAGGUACAUAUUAACCUUUCAUACUGGAAUUCGAAAUUUCUUGUCAAAUAAUGAAGACAUGAAAUAAAU